rnacentral:rRNA from 1 species
GACGAACGCUGGCGGCGUGCCUAAUACAUGCAAGUAGAACGCUGAAGGAGGAGCUUGCUUCUCUGGAUGAGUUGCGAACGGGUGAGUAACGCGUAGGUAACCUGCCUGGUAGCGGGGGAUAACUAUUGGAAACGAUAGCUAAUACCGCAUAAUAGUAGAUGUUGCAUGACAUUUGCUUAAAAGGUGCAAUUGCAUCACUACCAGAUGGACCUGCGUUGUAUUAGCUAGUUGGUGAGGUAACGGCUCACCAAGGCGACGAUACAUAGCCGACCUGAGAGGGUGAUCGGCCACACUGGGACUGAGACACGGCCCAGACUCCUACGGGAGGCAGCAGGAGGGAAUCUUCGGCAAUGGACGGAAGUCUGACCGAGCAACGCCGCGUGAGUGAAGAAGGUUUUCGGAUCGUAAAGCUCUGUUGUAAGAGAAGAACGAGUGUGAGAGUGGAAAGUUCACACUGUGACGGUAUCUUACCAGAAAGGGACGGCUAACUACGUG